GUGCCUUGUUGACUUCAGCUUGUCGCAUAUCAAUUUUUUUAAUUUCAAUGGCGGUUUAGAGUUCGCUUUUCCAGGGCACAGUGGUCCUCCAUUGCUGAAGCGUAAUAAUAACCAUAUUCCAAGAUUCCAGCUGGUUCUCUCGUGGAAAUUCCGUUCUUCAUUUUGCCAUAAAAGACCCCACUCCAAGCAAUCACCAACGGGAGGAAAUGUGGAACCUUUAAAGAUUGGCACGUGACUUGAGCGAAAGAUUGAAACAAGCUGUGGACCAGUGGUAGGCUAUGCCUAUGCAGUCCGAUUCUUGAUAAAAGAUAGAGGAGCUCUAUACGAACUACGGGGAGUGGGGGUUUGGUUCGAAGACACUUUAGGGCCUAUUUGGAAAUAUGUGAGCAAGGACAAAACACAUUCCAUAAUGACGACCCAUGUUGGUCAUAAUGUCAUCACUCUUACAAGUAACUCAUGUUA